AUGGCCUGCCUGGGGCUUGGUGGCCGCUGGGACCCAGAGCUGGGGUUCGGGGCGGUGGUGCGGCUGCGAGGGCAUCGGCUAGAGGGGGCUUGCUCUGGGGGGCCCCCGGGGAGCCUGGCCGGGGUGCUGGCUGCCGCCUGCCCCCAGGCCGGGAACAAUGCGGCCUCUAUCCCCCGAGCCGGCCAGCCAGGCGGGCCUCCCGCAACAUGGCGCCCGGGGCCGCGCCGCCUGUCCACGGGGAGGGCUGGCGCCCGGACCAGCCCGGCCCCCCGCGUCCUCCCCGGGCCGGCCUCGCAGUGGCCAGACGCCGCGGCCGCCCCCUUCCUCCCCCGCUGGGCCGGCCCCGGCCCCCUCCCGCCGGCGAUGGGUUUGGGGGUCCGGCCCACCCGCCGCUGCCACGUCUGCCACCCUCCCAGCACCCACGAGCAUCUUUCAAAAAUUCCCGGUGGGCGGGGCCGAGCCGCAGCGGCCGCCUCUGGCCCCCCCUCCCCGGCAGCCAGUGCCAGAGGAGAGCAGGAGACAAAAGUAGCAUUUUCCUCGCCCUCCUGGGCUGGCGGCGGGGCCUCCCCAGCGCCCUCGGCUCCUGGCCGGCCUGCCUCCGGGUUGCCGGGGUGGCCGAGGCCGCGGCCACGCCGGCCGGGACCGAGGGGACCGGUGGACGCCGGUGGCCACAGCCGAGGCGCCCGAGGGCUGGCGCCCGGGCCGGCCCUCCUCUGCCUGCCGCGGGGCCUGGCUGGGGCGACGGCCGCCGCCUUCACUGCCUUGCUGUGGACCAGCUCUCCGUCCUCCUGCGCCCGGCGUGGGGGUCCUGUUCGUGCAGGCCUGAGCAGCCGGCUGGAGCAGACACCACCAAAUACUGAACGGAGCUCGGCACACGCGAGAAGCGUCUGCGGCUGCUUUUGUUCUGAGAUCCGACAGCAGUCGCUCCUGGAGGAUUUGGGGCUGCAGAGACAGGCGCACGGAGCAGAGAUAAUUAAAACAUUUUCCUGAUGGUGACAGCCACAUUCUGCUGCUGGAAGCUGGAAGAUCAUUCCACCCAAAUAUUUAGCCAGCACCAGAUGAAACACGGGUGACAAAACGAAAGUAAUCGGGAAAAAACGGCAACAAAUUCUAGAGGCAGGAGAGUCCACGGUCCAGAGAGGGUGGCUGGGGGUUACUGGAGAGGAAGGUUGAUCAUUCUUAAAGAAUUUAUGCUUUUAAUAGCUGCCCAUUCCUCAUUUUAAAAAAAUUUUAUAUGAUAAAAUUAUAACUUUCUUGUAAUUAAAUGUAGAUGAAUAGGCCUUUAAUUCUAAAUCCUAGAGUGAUAGUCAAAUUUCCUGAGCAUUAACUCAUCUUCUUUUUGGACAAGGUAGCGCAAGUAGCAUAAAAUCAAUUAAUUUUCAUAAAUGAGCAUUUUCAUUCUAAAGUGGUAUUUUCCACCGAGAUUAUGUUCAUCUAAUGGUUUUAAUGUAUAUGAAUAACACAUUUUCCAGCCUACACCUUGUAUAGUUGGGAUAGUAAUAUGUGAUCAAUUAUCAUCUUCAUUUUUUAAUUUGGGGAAUCACACUGUACCUCUCCCAAGUCAGUAAAUUUCCACAGAAUCUUUUGUUGUUGUUGUUGUUUUAAUCAGGCGAAAAUAUCAGCAUUCUCCAUGGCACCCAGUACUUCUCAGCAGUAUUUUUUUUUAAGAAAGUACCGCACAUAGCAGUUUUCACAUCAUCGCUUCUAUAUAAAUUCCACUAUAGACUGAAAUUAUACAUUCUCACAGCACAGAUGGGCUGGUCUGUCAUUAUGACUGCCGGGUCCUUGUUGGAACACACAGCAUAUUUCAAUUGUGGAGUCGACAAUUUCGAAGAACUGAGGUCAAAAUAAACAAGUUGCCUUUGUACA
rnacentral:lncRNA from 1 species